CUACGGGCGGCUCCAGUAGGGAAUCUUAGACAAUGGGGGAAACCCUGAUCUAGCCAUGCCGCGUGAGUGAUGAAGGCCCUAGGGUUGUAAAACUCUUUCGCCUGGGAAGAUAAUGACGGUACCAGGUAAAGAAGCCCCGGCUAACUCCGUGCCAGCAGCCGCGGUAAUACGGAGGGGGCUAGCGUUGUUCGGAAUUACUGGGCGUAAAGCGCGCGUAGGAGGACUUUUAAGUCAGGGGUGAAAUCCCGGGGCUCAACCCCGGAACUGCCCUUGAUACUGGGAGUCUUGAGUUCGAGAGAGGUGAGUGGAAUUCCGAGUGUAGAGGUGAAAUUCGUAGAUAUUCGGAGGAACACCAGUGGCGAAGGCGGCUCACUGGCUCGAUACUGACGCUGAGGUGCGAAAGCGUGGGGAGCAAACAGGAUUAGAUACCCUUGUAGUC
rnacentral:rRNA from 1 species